AAUUCUCAAACCCCCUUCAUUCUUGAAGGGUGGUGUUGGACUGUGGAGGCUUUGCUGGCAUUGGUCAGCUCCUCUGAAAUGUAUUAGCAAAUGGAAGGUGGUUCUGACAAAGGCUUUUCAUCGGUGUGAUAAUGAUCGCCGUAGGAUGGCUUGAAGGGACUUGGGCCUUCUCGUGCUUAUAGCCUGUUAGAGGGGUGUUGCCCCUUUUUCUUGAUU
rnacentral:misc_RNA from 1 species